GUGGCCUAGUGGUUAGAGCGUCCACCUCAGAUGCGGGGGUCGUAGGUUCGAACUCCAGCCAAGUCA